rnacentral:tRNA from 1 species
GUUGCUUUGGCAGAAAAGUGCGUUAGAUUUAGAAUCUUUUUAUGUAAUAUUAUUACAGGUAAUA